rnacentral:lncRNA from 1 species
UUUUUUUUUUUUUUAAAAGAUUUUAUUUAUUUAUUCAUGAGAGGCAGAGACACAGGCAGAAGGAGAAGCAGGCUCCCUGCAAGGAGCCCGAUGUGGGACUUGAUCCCAGGACCCCAGGAUCACGCCCUGAGCUGAAGGCAGACACUCAACUGCUGAGCCACCCAGGUGACCCCCUUGGUACAUUUUCAAAGAAUGGUCUACCCAGUAUUUUUUUGUUUUUGGCUGAUGGGAACAGGAACAAUUCCCAGUCUUGUGUAAUGCCAUGCACGGUUAUCCUUAGUAAUUCUUUCCCUGGCCCUGGUUAGUUUCUUCACACUCUCAUGCUGACCAGGAUUCUGAGUACUCAGGAGGACCCUCCCACAGAUCUCCUAGGUGCUCAUGCAGCUUUAUUCUGGCAUUCUGUCUCAUGAACACAAGCUGCCUCAACCUCUCCGAACUCCUAGCUCAGACCUUUCAACCUAGGUAGAUUGAUAGGGUCCACUUCAGUUUCCCCUCUCUGUUCUACUGCCCAGAAACUCUCACAAGGCAGUAGUAAGCCCAUCUCAUUUGUUUCCCAUCUUUUAGAGAUUGCUUUCCUUCAAUGUUUGAAUUUUGUUUAGUUUUCAGGCAUGAGACUAAAUCCAGGCACUGACCUCCUUUUGGCCAGAGGCAGAAAAAAUUCCUACAUGUUUUUUUAAGCUUAUGGAAUACCCAGGUGAGUGUAGAGAUUGAGAUUGUAUCAAUGAAUGAACUGAAUCUAAACCCUCCCUUGUAUAGGUAACAAACCAGAGGCCUGGAGCCAAGUGGUAAUGGAAGUAAUCAGAACCAGAAUCCAUCCCUUAAGUCUUGGUCUAGUUAUCUGACAUCAUUUUCUGCUCUGUAUCUUAUCUUGCCAAGUUGUUUCCCAUUUUAGACUAAUAUAUUUUCAAACAAAAUACGUUUUUAAAAAAGAGAAUGUGCUUCAAUAUUUAGACCUCCAUGUGAUCUUGAGAUUGCUCCUCCCCAACCAUGGCAAAAACUUGGAAGCUUUUUCUCUAGAGGGGGUAGGUUUCUGGGUAGGGGGCCUUCCCAGAUCUGGAAGACAAAUGAAUCUGGGUGUACUAGAAAGCUGAAGCUCCCUAGUCCUCUUUCUUCACUGAGCUCCCACAAGGACAGCAAUUCAAGGUAAAUCCUCCAGACAGGAGACUAGAAGUUUCUUUCAGGGAACCUGACCAGCCCAAGAGGAAAGUCCUAAAAGAAGUAUGGACAUUAGGGAUUUAUCAAAAAAAGUUAUAUCAGUUCAACUUACAAACACAUAUUCUUCUUAAUAUCCCACCUGUAAAUAUAAGCAGGCUACCAAUGAUUGCCAGGCAGCUAAGGAAAGUCUGUAACAUGAAAGACUAAAAAAGCAAAACAGAAAGAGGAAGGAAAAUAUCACGCAGGAAGAUGAAAGCUACAGCAAAGUAUAUUAAUGUCCUCAGAGAUAAGAUACUGCAAUCAUGGACCAAGUUCCUAAUUUGGGGGAAAAAAAAAGGAACCCUUAGAGAAGCAACUUGGGAAAUCUUCCAUAAAGAUCAAAAAACAAGAAAAUGGGAGGUGGUAGGGAUAGAAAAAAUAAGAAAACAAGAGAUUGUGGAGGCCAAGAAAAAUCAAGGCCAUUCCAUCUCAAGUUUAGCAUUAGCACAAGUACAGCCAUCUUAGGCCCCUGUGAAUAAGAACUGAACUUUAUAGGAAAAACGCAGAAUGUCCUCCAUGUCCGCUGCAGGUAAUCCCAUAUCAGAAUUGCCCUCGGCAGAGAAUCCCAUAUCAGAAAGAUAACAGAGCCCACACCCUUGGUAGCAAGUCCCAUAUUAGAAUGAGAACAGAGCUCAAUGCCUUUGAAAGCCCCACAUCAAAAUGUAAACAGAACUUGAGAAAUUCCUCCACCCCUUCUGAAAAUCCCCUAGACCAGCCUAUAAAAAAACCAGCUGUAACCCACUUCGGGGUCCAAGUCCCUGCUCCACUGUGUUGGGUAUACUUAGACCCAAGCUCGAGCUUGCUAAUAAACCCUCGUGUGCUUGCAUCGGUGUCGGCUCCUUGGUGGUUUCUCGGAUUCGCAAUCUUGGGCACAAUAAGAUAAGUCCAAGAGAUCCAAUAUCUGAAGAACAGGACUUUCAGAAAGAAAAGCCAGAAAAUUAAAGGAAGGAAAUCAUUAACAACUAAUUCAAGAAAGUUUCCCAGAAGUGAAGGACCAGAGUCCAUUUUGAAAGGGUUCAACAAUAGCCUAGCACAAUGCAUGAAAACAAAUCUUCACCAAGGCAAGUCCCUGUGAAAUUUCAGAACACAGAGGACAGAAUGGAGUCACAUACAAAGAACCAGGACUCAGAAUGUCCUGUCUCCUCUAACAGCAACACUAGCUGGUAGGUGAAGAGUAAUACCUUCAAAAUUGUAAAGGAAAACAAAUUCCUAACUAGAACUCCACACUUGAUCAACUAGGAGAGGAGACAUUUUUCAGACAUGUGAUUCUCUCAAACUUUCCAUGUACCUGUUUUUUUACUGCAAGCACGCCAUCAGAAUGAGGUAAUAAACCAAAGGGAAGAGGUUACACAGAAAACAGGAGAUUCAGCUGGGAAGAACCCAUGAUGACAGCAAUAUAUUAGGCACAAGGGAGAGCCAGUCCAGAUAGAUGCAGGUCAAGAAAUUGAUAAAACAGGGGUGCCUGAGUCAGUUAAGCAUCUGCCGUCAGCUCAGGUCAUGAUCUCAGAGUCCUGGGAUCUGGCCCUGUGUUGGGCUCCUUGCUCAGUGGGGAGCCUGCUUCUCCCUCUGCCCCUUCCCGCCUUGUGCAGUGCUGUCAAAUAAAUAAAAUCUUAAAAAAAGAGAGAAAUUGAUAAAAUGGAGGAUGUUAAAGUCCUUAGGGGAACUCAUGUUGAGUUAGUGACAAGUGGACAGAAAACUAAGCUAAUAACUAAUAAAAUGCAAGAAGAGGACUAAAUCUAGGGAAAACAAAGUUCUGCAGGGAAGAUAAUCUCGUUCACUACAUGGCUCAGCUUUGAUUUAAAUACCCAGUUAUAGUGCAAACACCUAAUAGGAUUUAACUAGAAUUGUAUCAGGGAGAUAGGUGAUGCGGAGUACAUGCAUGGUGGGAAGGCGAGAGAGGUCAAAAGAUAAUGCCUAGGGGCUCCUGGGUGGCUCAGUCAGUUAAGCAGCUGCCUUCAGCUCAGGUCAUAAUCUCAGGGUCCUGGAAUCAAGCCCCAAGUCGGGUUCCUAGCUACUCCCUCUCUUGCUCUCCCUACUUGUGCUCUCUAUCCUCUCAAAUAAAUAAAAUCAUUAAAAAAAAAGAUAAUGCCUAAAAUGCAAACAUCAAUAAAUAGCCAUGCAUACGUUUAAACUAAGACCUGGUAGCAAAUACAAACUUACCAGCCAACAGCUGAAAGGGAAUACUGCAAAGCAGGGAAAAUGAGGAAGGGCAGGUAGGAUAGGAAGGUUGUUUUUCAUAAUAAACCUCACAGAACUAUUUGCUCUUUCAAUGCAAAAUAUCAGAUUUUCUUCCCAAAAUACAGGAUAUAAAAUUGUUUACAAACCUAUGUUGUUCAUUUUUAAGUUUCCAAAUUUUUACUGUGAAUGUUUAAUUAAAAACAAAACCAUAGGGGAUCCCUGGGUGGCGCAGCGGUUUGGCGCCUGCCUUUGGCCCAGGGCGCGAUCCUGGAGACCCGGGAUCGAAUCCCACAUCGGGCUCCCGGUGCAUGGAGCCUGCUUCUCCCUCUGCCUGUGUCUCUGCCUCUCUCUCUCUCACUGUGUGCCUAUCAUAAAUAAAUUAAAAACAAAACAAAACAAAAAAAAAAACAAAACCAUAAAUGGGUACUCUCUUCACUAUUCGGGAUUUAGGUAAGAUUAGAGGUGGUUUUUUUUUUUUUUUUUAGAGGUGGUUUUUACUGGGUAUACAGUCAUGUAAGAUUGGUAUUCCUCCAUGGUUCCCAAGGUAAGCCUUACCUAGUCAGCUUUUCAGAUCCAGGAUGUAAUUCAGGCAUUAAGUAUAAUGUGUUAUUUAAGUCUUAUUUACUAUAAAGUAUAAUAUACGUUGUGACCAUACUAAAGUAACAUAUUCCAGUCCAGGAUAUCAAAACAUGGCCUCAGGUCUGCUGAAUCAGAUCUACCUAAAUCGGGUGGCAAGGGCACUGCUUAACAUGCAGAUUCCUGGGCUUUUCCCCAGACCAAUUACUCAACAAUCUCUAAUCACAAGGGUGGGCCUUGUGAUCUUCAUUCUAACAAGAUCCCUAAACUGAUGUUGAAAAAUACUGCUCAAAAAAAAAAAAAAAAAAAAAAAUAAAAAA